rnacentral:rRNA from 1 species
GACGAACGCUGGCGGCGUGCUUAACACAUGCAAGUCGUACGGUAAGGCCCUUUCGGGGGUACCCGAGUGGCGCACGGGUGAGUAACACGUGAGUAACCUGCCCACAACUUUGGGAUAACGCUAGGAAACUGGUGCUAAUACUGGAUAUGUGCUCCUGCUGCAUGGUGGGGGUUGGAAAGCUCCGGCGGUUGUGGAUGGACUCGCGGCCUAUCAGCUUGUUGGUGGGGUAGUGGCCUACCAAGGCGGCGACGGGUAGCCGGCCUGAGAGGGUGACCGGCCACAUUGGGACUGAGAUACGGCCCAGACUCCUACGGGAGGCAGCAGUGGGGAAUAUUGCACAAUGGGCGCAAGCCUGAUGCAGCAACGCCGCGUGCGGGAUGACGGCCUUCGGGUUGUAAACCGCUUUCAGCAGGGACGAAGCUUUUUGUGACGGUACCUGCAGAAGAAGCACCGGCUAACUACGUG